AGCUCCAAUAGCGUAUAUUAAAGUUGCUGCAGUUAAAAAGCUCGUAGUUGCAUUUCCGAGGCAAGGGAUUAGUCCGACCUUUGGUGGGUAUUUAAUCCUCUUGCCUCGUCCUUGAGUGGUGCUUCUUGGUAUUAAGUUAUCGAGGAGAUAGCCGCUCAUCGUUUACUGUGAGAAAAUUAGAGUGUUCAAAGCAGGCUUAUGCCGUUGAAUAUAUUAGCAUGGAAUAAUAAGAUAGGACCUCGGUACUAUUUUGGUGGUUUGAGAACCAAGGUAAUGAUGAAUAGGGACAGUUGGGGGUAUUCGUAUUCAGUUGUCAGAGGUGAAAUUCUUAGAUUUACGGAAGACGAACUACUGCGAAAGCAUUUACCAAGGAUGUGUUCA
rnacentral:rRNA from 1 species